rnacentral:lncRNA from 1 species
CAUUCCCACCCCUGCUCCCUGGAUGGCAGUCUCCAUGAAGGACAGCCCCCAUACCUCUAGUGCCCACCUUGAGCCCAGCACAGGGUUGGUGCUCAUGAAUGUUGGUUGGAUCUGCUCAGAGAACUGGCUCUAUGAUGGUACAGGGGCAAGUAAUGGGAUAUGUAACUCUGGGCUAAACAUGGACAACAUUCUUUGUUGGCAUUCAUAUUCCUGCAUUUAGAACUGGACCAUGUGGUGCUGGAGAGGCCAUUGCACUGACUGGCAAGAGAAGACCUGCUUCACCGUGGUCCACACAGUAAUUUCCCUGGCUUCACUCAAGGCUAACUGUCCUCCAGCAAAACACCCCUCUUUUCCUCUCACAGAUGAAGCAGAUGAGUAAAACUGAGGCUCCGUAAGGUACUCAUCCGAAAUCAGGCAGAAGGAACAGAAGGAACUAUUGACCUCAUCCUGUUCUCCAGGCUGCAAGUGAGAAAUGGGGUUCUUAGACUGGAAGAAGCCUCAGUGUGGGUAGAGGCAGCUGGGGCCUGAGGCAUGAGCCCCCAGAGGAAAACACAGGAAGCAGGUGGCCAAUCUUGUUCCAGAAGGGCUCUCACCAGGACUGCCCCAGAGUCCACACCAGAUUAUGAAAUAUGCCUUGUGAUUUUGCAUGAACAUCUUUGGCUGAAGAUUGACAAAUGUUGGAGGAAACUGCAACCUUUUUUUUUUUUUUUUUACCAUUAGUUAUUUUAUUGAGCAAUUACAAGUCCCAGGCUCUUACUUUUUCAUAUUAAUUUUUUACAACAAGUUUAUGAGAUGCACACUGUUCUCAUUUAUCAUAUAAGGAAACUAAAACUAAAAGAGUUUAAUAUAUUGCUCAAGGUUAUCCAGUGUAUUGGUUUGCUAGGGCCCUGUAACAAAGUACCUACAAACCGGGUGGCUCAAACAACAGAAAUGCAUUGGGAAACUGCAACCUCUUAUCAGUUAAUUUUCCGAGGCAAACAGUAACCUGGACUGAUUGUGAUUUCCAUGAGUUUCUCUUCUUGGUUUUUUUCCUUCUUGGUAUUGGUGGCUCAGAUGCAAGGCCCUGUGGUUCAAUAGGAAGAGCAGGAGCUUUAUAUUGGAAAACCUGCACUCUGGCUGGCUGUGUGCUGUCUGUGCCUCAGUUUCUUCAUCUGUAAAAUAGGAAUAAGAAUAUUACCCACCUUAGAUAAUUAGAGGGAGUAUUAGAACUCCUUGAAUACUACUAGGCACACAGUAAGUACUGAAGAAAUGUUAACUAAUUAUUAAUCUCACUAUUUAUUAGAAAAUGGAGAUUAAAGUACCUGUCUCACAGGUUUUUGUGAGAGUCAAAUCCAUUCAUUCAUUUGUUCAACAAAUACAUACUGAGCACCCCUAUGUGACAAGUAGUAUACGAGGCACAGGGCUGCUAUGUUAAAAACAAAAUGAGAUCAUUCUGUACUCCCCAGAACUAACAGACUGGUGGGGGAAGAGAUAUAUUAAGUGAUGCAUAAAAACACAGGCAUAAAUGUGCAAAUUUGUUGUAACAAUGCUUUGAAGGAAAAAGGUGGUGUGCUAUUGAGAGAAUAAGAGGGGAGGCUGCCUUAGGUGGUGAUGUGGUUUGGCUCUGUCUCCCCACCCAAAUCUCACCUUGAAUUGUAGUAAUCUCCAUGUAUGGUGGGAAGGACCUGGUGGGAGGUAAUUGAAUCAUGGUGGUGGGUCUUUCCCAUGCUGUUCUUGUGAGAGUGAAUAAAUCUCACAAGAUGUGAUGGUUUUAUAAAGGGGAGUUCCCCUGCACAUGCUCUUGGCUGCCACCAUGUAAUAUGUCCCUUUGCUCUUCCUUCGUCUUCCACCAUGAUUGUGAGGCCUCCCCAGCCACGUGGAAUUGUAAGUCCUUUAAAGCUCUUUCAUUUAUAAAUGACCCAGUCUCAGGUAUGUCUUCAUGAGCAGCAUGAGAAUGAACUAAUACAAGUAGGGUGGCCACAGAAGACUUCCCUGAAGAGGCAGGUGUUGAGCUCACCUAUGAAGGAUGGGUAGGAGUUAAAUAUUCCAGGUAAAGGCAAAACACACCUAAAGGUCUUACCUUAAGGGGAAAAAGGGUGAGGUGAAUUUGAGCCUAUGAAUGAGGUGACAGGGUUAGCAGAAAAUAGACAGGACAGAGGAUGAGUUCUAUUCUGAGUAUAAACCACAAAAGCAAUGGAGGAGGUAAAUGCUUUUAUAAAGUGUAAAAUCCACAUGUCUAUAACUUACUAUAUUUUCCAGCAUAAAAAGCUAGGAGUUGAAGUUUCACAUGGAGGCCAGGUGAGGAGUGAUUUCACCUCCAUGGCCUUUGCAGUUUGCACUCAGGAUAAAACAAUUGCCUAAAAACUACACAUGUUAUGGCAGAAAGUGUGUGUGUCAGUGUGUCUGUGUAAUCCGAAUUCCCAAAGUGCAUAACCCUUUCCUCGAAUCUCAUCAUCUGAAUGCAUCAGCUCUUUGAGCCCCAGUUUCCUCCUUUGUAAUCAUGGGGCCAUUUCUUCUUCUUUACUAAUGUGGCUGUUUUCUCAUAAGGUUGUUCUGAGAAAAACUCCAGUAAAUGUUGAUUCCCUAUGCCUCUUCUUUUCUCUGUGGCUUAAGCUUCACUGUCUGGUGCUUCUGAUGACAGUCUGCAUUUGAGAGAAGGCAUUAAACAUUCACAGCUGGCUUUUCAUCAAAAUGUGUCCUGCCCACCACACAAUCUUGGAGAACCCAUUGGCAUCUGACCACUCUAGAGAUUGCCCCUUUCUUAAAGGAGCCCCCUGGCCUCCCCUACCCAGUACUAAAAUCCAUCCAAUUCACACACCAUUGCUGUGGAAGUUAGUCCUUCUUUUAAUUCUGAUCAAGUGAGCAAAAGGGGAAAUAAGGAGGGAUCCAUCAGAACAGCUCAUGAAAAAUAUGUACGUUCUUUAAAGGAAGACAGCAUACAAAUGGGAUAUAUUUUUUUUUCCAAAAGGGAGGGGGAAAUACACGCAGGCUUUUAAACAGAAGACUUUAAGCGGGGAGUGAGAGAGGAAAAAUAUGUCUCUUAAAUGCAUUCAGCGCCAUUGCCACAAGGCUGCCGAGCCAGGAUUGUUUAUUAGAAGAUAAGAUAGUGAAAAAUGUAUUUUGCAGAAAGAAAAUAGUAAAGUCAGGUCUGAGGCAGAUAAGAAGCCAAAUUUCUAUUUUAUGCUCAAUUGAGUGACUCAGUUACAUUAUCUGGGAAGCAGGGGUGAAAUAACACCCUUCGGAAAUGAGGCCUGGGUUGCUCUGGGUCUCCUUCCAGCCUUGGCCAAGCUGAACUCUGCACAGCUGGGAUGCUGCCUUCUCAGAGCAGAGUAUUUGCCAUCUAGGGAUGAGGGGAAGAAAGGUUCUGAUCUUUUCUCUUCAGCUCCUUUUUUUCUCCAUCUUUUCAUAUGAGCACUCCAGUUCAGCUUCAUGCUUCCCCUUCUGCUGCUGAAGGUGAGAAAAUAAAAGCACACACAUGCAUACAAGAUGAAGCUCUGCAAAGACCAACCGAUGUUGAAGCCAGAAGCAUCAUUAGAGUUCAGCUGGUAUAGGGGUCUGUGGUCAGUCCUUUAUUUGGCAAGCACAAACAUGUCAUUUGAGUGUUUUUACACAGGGCAUUGUUCUCUAGUUUGCCAAAGAUCCUACUACACCUUUUAAAAAUUUUACCUGGUGCUUUACACAUUUUCAUUGUGUGUCUGGUCCCUGGAGAAAUGUAAGAUGAUUUCUCUAGACAUCUUCCAGAAUCCUCAGUGAAAAGAUGGAGAAGCUUCCCUCCAGAGAGGUCAAGAGGCUCAUUAAAAGUCACACAGCUGGUGAGUAUUAUCAUUACAAACAGGCUGUACUUCUAAUCAUCUCUUAUCCUUUCCUAAUGGUUCAGCGUUUGGGCCCUUUUCCAUUUUGGAGAUCCUUCAUUUAUUAUCCAGUUGGAGGUCAGAGCAAUUUGAAAAAUGGAUAUUGACUUUUUGGGCCAAUAGUCAGUUCAAAAACUCACUUAGUUGUGCAUUGGUAAGCCUGUGGUAGACAGAAUAAUGGCCCCUGAAGAUGUCCAUAGCUGAAUCCCAGAAACCUGUAAGUAAUUUUGCAAAUGUGAUUAAAUUAAGGAUCUUCAACUGGAAUGAUUAUCCUGAAUUAUCUGGUGAUAUGGUUUGGCUGUGUCUCCACCAAAUCUCAUCUUGAAUUGUAGCUCCCAUAAUCCCCACGUGUUGUGGGAGGGAC